rnacentral:rRNA from 1 species
CGAACGGACGAAGGAGGUAGACAACUACCUCCUAGAGGUGGCGGACGUGGUAGAGUAACGACGUGGGUGACACUACCCUCAGAUGGGGAUAGCUAUUAGAAAUAGUAGAUAAUACCGAAUACGAGCACAGGGGUUAGAGAUCUGUGAGGAAAGGAGCUAAGGCUCCGCUGAAGGAAUGGCCUGCGGCCCAUUAGCUAGUUGGUGAGGUAAGAGCCCACCAAGGCGAUGAUGGGUAUCCGGCCUUAGAGGGUGAACGGACACAUUGGGACUGAGAUACGGCCCAGACUCCUACGGGAGGCAGCAGCUAAGAAUAUUCCGCAAUGGACGAAAGUCUGACGGAGCGACGCCGCGUGGAUGAAGAAGGCCGGAAGGUUGUAAAAUCCUUUUGAAACUGAAGAAUAAGCGUUGUAGGGAAUGACAGCGUGGUGACAGUAGGUUUUGAAUAAGCAACGGCUAAUUACGUGCCAGCCGCGGC